rnacentral:rRNA from 1 species
AUCGAACGCUGGCGGCAGGCCUAACACAUGCAAGUCGAGCGAGCGGCGGACGGGCGAGUAAUGUAUGGGGAUCUGCCUGACAGAGGGGGAUAACUACUGUAACCGGUGGCUAAUACCGCUUACUAUCGGAUGCACUCAGGUGGGUUUAGCUAGUAGCGGGGGUAAAGGCUAACCUAGGCGACGAUCGCUACCUGGUCUGAGAGGAUGAUCAGCCACACUGGGACUGAGACACGGCCCAGACUCCUACGGGAGGCAGCAGUAGGGAAUAUUGGACAAUGGGCGAAAGCCUGAUCCAGCCAUGCCGCGUGUAUGAAGAAGGCCUUCGGAUUGUAAAGUACUUUCAGUGAGGAGGCGUUACUCGCAGAAGAAGCACCGGCUAACUCCGUGCCAGCAGCCGCGGUAAUAC